UUAUUCCUUUAUUUCCUCGUGCACGAGAGAAAGCUGCCAUUUUACGAUUUCUUAUCCAGUACGUACGAGUCGAACCUCUCUCCGGGUUUGAAAUUUUAUAAAUCUGAAUUUCUUUAACAUUUAACUUGAAAUAAGGCCGACUGGAAUUUAAAAAUUUGAUAGCUAACGUUGAGUAAGUUGCGAUGAAGUAAAUUAUUUAGAUUAAAUAAGGAAAUUUGCUAAACUUCGUUGCAUCACGUGAAACUAAAAUUAAUUUUUAAACUGCAACCAAAGAUAAGGAAAAGAGACACAUCCACAUGAAUCAGCAGCAAUUCAUCAGACAAAAAACUCUGCACUGCAUCGAUCAAUCAUCUGAUUUCUCACAGGGUGCUUAAAUUCUUCCCGAUGGCGAAAAGUUGUUCCAAUUUUACUUCAGUUUGUCUCUGUGGCGUCGGCAAAGUUUUCUGCUUUCGAGUUUUUAUUCCUUGUUUCACCGUUUGAUUCUGGACACGUUCGUAAAUUAUUAUUCGCAUCUUCAUGCACUUCUUGUCUGCCCCACUUGCAAUGUGAUCCUCUACCUCGUGUGGGAUCAAAUAUUCUCCUAAAUUUGCAACUAUUGCCUCAAUAUCCACCAUCAUCAUGACCGGACCGCCCUCCUCGCCUAAUGUCUUCGCUUUGUGUCGUCAACUUACUCCCCUACUCGACUCGACGUAAAUAAUGUAUGAAGGGUUGGCGACCACUUUUAAUGGAAUCUACAGCGUGUCGAAUCAAUUACUCUCCCAAAUUUACAACUCAAUUGCUGCCUUACCAUCAUGACUGGACAACUUACGCCAAGCUUAUUGACCUCGUCGCCACCAAAUUACCUAGUUCUUUCGUCGAUAAGUAACCUCAUCUGGUCCAUUUUGAGUUGACACCAUUUCAUACGUAUCUAUAAACCAACAGAUUUAGUGUUUGACUUAGAAAUUAGAAACGUAUUCUGCAUUUCUUCUUAUGCGAAAUGUUCUUCGUUGAAUUCUAUUAUUCCUUCAUAUCUUAAAUUUAAAUCCUUCUAGUGUUUAUGCUAAGAUUUAUUGAAUACUUCAAACCACCACACAAUUACCUUCCAUUUAUCAGCCGCUUCUCACUAUCUACUAAUAUCCAGUUUAGUUUAUCCAAUAUUUACGCAUUUGUGGGUUCACUAUUCUACUCCGUACCCGUACUUAAACUACUACUUAUUUAGUGAACUUGAUUUUUUGGUUCAAUUUAGAUAUGCCUUAACGAAAUGAAAGUCGGUACAGGGUUAGGGUCAGGGUACAGGGUUUAUUAAUCAAGUAGUAACUGACGCAGACUAAUUUUAUUUGGCGAGUCGUUAAAGUCAUGUUAGAAAAUAGCAAUGUAAGUUAUUCUGGACAUUUAAAAAAACAGAUGCAAAUCUUUCGUUUCAAUUUUGAACUUAAGCAAGAUUUUAUAGCAGUGGAACAUAUAUCUAAAAAAAAAUAAUAGUGAAAAUUUUUAGGGAAACUUGUAAAUACCCGAAUUGCUGGCAUCACGUCUAUCCGGUAUUCGUUAAAUUCCUAGGAUUUUGUUUAAUUUUUACACAACUAUUUAGACGGAGUUAGGUGUAGAAUGAUAUUUCGUAAAUCAGCUAGACACAGUCAAGUCGUUUAGUAAUCAUGGACUCAUUUGUCCGUAAUUCUGAAUUUAUUAAUCGUAUUUCUUAAUUAUGGACUAGUUUCUCAAUACUUACGUGAACAUUCUAUCUAACGCCGGAUUUGCAAAUAUGGUAGAUUUGCACGUCCUUUUUAAAAAAUAUCUCCAUUACAACAAAAUUCAUUUACGUGUGGAAUUUAUUAACGGUCGAAACAACGAUGUAAAUUAAUUAGGGAAACUUGUACACUUCUGAGUUGGUGGUCCCGUCUAUCCCAUAUUUGUUGAAUUUCUCUGAUUUUAUAAUAUUUUUGCAUAGCUGGACAAAAGGUGUAGAAUGAUAUUUCGGGAGCGAUAAGAUGAUCGAGCCGCUUCUUAAUUCGACAGCAGGCACGCCGAGGUGUGCAAAAAUGGUACAUUUGCAGUCUUUUAAAACAUAUUUUGGUUAAAACAAAAUUCAUUUACUAGUUCAUUACUGACGAUCUGAACUUUCAGAGUGGUAACUUUAUUAGGGAAAUUAGUUAAAUUUAAGUUCCCGAUUUUAUUUUAGUUUUGCACAAUUAGACAAAUUAGGUGUAGAAUGAUAUUUCAUAAGCAAUCAAACUCAACAUGUCCUUGUACGCAAUUCUUUAUUUAAUUAUAUUACUUAUUUAUUUAUAUUGGAUUAGACUUAGGUAGGAAAAAACACGGUAAACGACGGUACUGUUUAUUCACACCGAAUUUGUGCAAAAACGGUAAAUGUACAAUCUUUACAAAAUGUUUUCAUCAUAUGUAUUUAUACUGUGGCACUCUUUAAUACAUGUUUUAAAACACAUUAGGAGCAUUUAUUUGACCAGAUAUUUAUGUAGUUUUAGGAGUAUGUAUGUAGAAAAUUAUGAUAUAUUUCUUGGUACUACUUUUAUUAUUAUUUUUCAAAAUCAUUGUACUCGAUUUGUUGUACUAAACAUUUGAUAGCACGUUAAUAAACAAAGUUAAAAGAGAGAUCAAA